rnacentral:rRNA from 1 species
GACGAACGCUGGCGGCGUGCCUAAUACAUGCAAGUUGAGCGAUGAAGAUUGGUGCUUGCCCCAAUUUGAAGAGCAGCGAACGGGUGAGUAACGCGUGGGGAAUCUGCCUUUGAGCGGGGGACAACAUUCGGAAACGAAUGCUAAUACCGCAUAACAACUUUAAACCUAAGUUUCAAGUUUGAAAGAUCCAACUGCCUCACCCAACGAUGAUCCCGCGUUGUAUUAGCUAGUUGGUGAGGUAAAGGCUCACCAAGGCGAUGAUACAUAGCCGACCUGAGAGGGUGAUCGGCCACAUUGGGACUGAGACACGGCCCAAACUCCUACGGGAGGCAGCAGUAGGGAAUCUUCGGCAAUGGACGAAAGUCUGACCGAGCAACGCCGCGUGAGUGAAGAAGGUUUUCGGAUCGUAAAACUCUGUUGGUAGAGAAGAACGUUGGUGAGAGUGGAAAGCUCAUCAAGUGACGGUAACUACCCAGAAAGGGACGGCUAACUACGUG